AGAUGGAUGAUUUUGUUCAGACAAAAUUGCUCGACUGGGGGCUUGGUGACCUGCUUCCUACUUUUGAAGCUGAGAAGAUCGAUGAAGAAUCAUUUCUGCUUUUGGACGGCGGCUGUCUACAGUCAUUGAUUCCAGUCAUUGGACCACGGCUCAAAUUUCAAAAGUACUUCAAUACGUUGCUUAAGUGCUUGACGGCCACUGGGAGGAGGCUGCUGCCAUUCCACCUGGUCCAAGUUUGACCCUGCC